GUGGAGCAGCUGAGUUCAUAUUUCCACCUUCAGGAUGAUGGGAAAACUCUACCUUCUACUGCUCUCUCUCUGUCUGCCCUGUUGCAAUGGUCAGAGUCUGGAGUCCAUUCCCUCUAGUCCAGUCCAGAGAAAUCCCGGAGAAACUCUAAGUCUGUCCUGUAAGAUAUCUGGAUAUACCGUUUCCAGCCACCACACACACUGGAUACGACAGCCAGCAGGAAAAUCCCUGGAGUGUUAUUGGAUGGGUUAUUCUGGAUUAGGCCUAGGUUACCAUGCUAAAAAGUUUGAAGGACGUAUGGAAACCACUAAAGAUACUAGUAACAGCAUGUUGACUUUGAUGCUGUCUGGUCUGAGAACAGAGGACUCUGCUGUGUAUUACUGUGCAAGAGACACAGUGGUGUGA